rnacentral:rRNA from 1 species
UAAGGAAUAUUGGACAAUGGUCGCAAGACUGAUCCAGCCAUGCCGCGUGCAGGAAGACGGCCCUAUGGGUUGUAAACUGCUUUUGUACCAGAGAAAACCUAUCUACGUGUAGAUAGCUGAUAGUAUGGUAAGAAUAAGCAUCGGCUAACUUCGUGCCAGCAGCCGCGGUAAGACGAAGGAUGCAAGCGUUAUCCGGAUUCAUUGGGUUUAAAGGGUGCGUAGGCGGGCUUGUAAGUCAGUGGUGAAAUCUCUCAGCUUAACUGAGAAACUGCCAUUGAUACUGCAGGCCUAGAGUAUAGAUGACNUUGGCGGAAUAUGACAUGUAGUGGUGAAAUACUUAGAUAUGUCAUAGAACACCGAUUGCGAAGGCAGCUAACGAAACUAUAACUGACGCUGAGGCACGAAAGUGCGGGGAUCAAACA